UGCCCAGAAGCCUACGGGUGCCCCGUUCCUAUCGAUUUCUCUAUCUUCUUGCUUGGUUCCAAACUGAGCAGAGCCGUGCCGUCGCCGCUCCGGCCAUCCCCGGCCGCAUCCCUCUCCGAUUUUUCGCGCCCAAGCCUUCCUCCCCUGCUCCUCAACCUCUGUCGCGCCUCCCCAAGCCCGGCCGAACCCUACCUCGAGCGGAAUCGGCCCCUUCGUCUCCGGCUGCCAUGGAAGCUCCGCUCAGAGCUCUGUUCACCGUCGAUCCGCUCCCUCCGGCCAUCUCCCGCCCAAGCCGAGCCUCUGAACGGGUUGCCCUCGACUCCCUGGAGCUUCCCAGCCCGACCACCGCUGCCCUCCCUCAUCGGAGCACCGCAGCAUGCCGCCACCAUCGCCGCCAAGUCACUGCUCCCGCCGCGGGCCCUCCUCUGGCCACCCCAGCUCCAACAGAGCCCCCCCACAGGUACGAUAGAUGCACCACGUGAAAGACAUGAUGUUGGAGCCGAACCCGAAAAUGAUGUUUGGUGCACAUAUCCAGAAGAUGGAAAGAACCAAGAGUAUAUGCUUGGUGUGGUGAUACUCGCCUAGCUGAGUGUUAUCUAACAAACAUUGACCUAAUGUUGGAUUUUAGGCAAGCCCCAGUGUAUAACCUACUAUUUUAAAUUAUCAAUCAUUAUACAUUUAUUA